rnacentral:rRNA from 1 species
AUUAAACGCUGGCGGCAGGCCUAACACAUGCAAGUCGAGCGGAUGAGGAAAGCUUGCUUUUCGAUUCAGCGGCGGACGGGUGAGUAAUGCCUAGGAAUCUGCCUGUUAGUGGGGGAUAACUCGGGGCAACUCGGGCUAAUACCGCAUACGUCCUACGGGAGAAAGUGGGGGAUCUUCGGACCUCACGCUAACAGAUGAGCCUAGGUCGGAUUAGCUAGUAGGUGAGGUAAUGGCUAACCUAGGCGACGAUCCGCAACUGGUCUGAGAGGAUGAUCAGUCACACUGGAACUGAGACACGGUCCAGACUCCUACGGGAGGCAGCAGUGGGGAAUAUUGGACAAUGGGCGAAAGCCUGAUCCAGCCAUGCCGCGUGUGUGAAGAAGGUCUUCGGAUUGUAAAGCACUUUAAGUUGGGAGGAAGGGUAUUCACCUAAUACGUGGGUACUUUGACGUUACCAACAGAAUAAGCACCGGCUAACUCUGUGCCAGCCGCCGCAGUAAGAC